CCUAGUGGCGAACGGGUGAGUAACGCGUUGGUGACCUGCCCCAAAGUGUGGGAUAACAGUCCGAAAGGAUUGCUAAUACCGCAUGUGGUCAUUGGAUUUAGAAACCGAUGACUAAAGGAGUAAUCCGCUUUGGGAGGGACCUGCGUCCCAUCAGCUAGUUGGUGAGGUAAUGGCUCACCAAGGCUACGACGGGUAGGGGACCUGAGAGGGUGGCCCCCCACAAUGGAACUGAAACACGGUCCAU
rnacentral:rRNA from 1 species